AUUGAACGCUGGCGGCAGGCCUAACACAUGCAAGUCGAGCGAGCGGCGGACGGGUGAGUAAUGUAUGGGGGUCUGGCCGAUAGCGGGGGCUAACUACUGGAAACGGUGGCUAAUACCGCAUACUAUCGGUUGAACCCAUUUGGGAUUAGCUAGUAGGGGGGGUAAAGGCUCACCUGGUCGACGAUCUCUAGCUGGUGUGAGAGGAUGCUGAGCAACCGUGGGAUGGAGACUGUGCCCAGACUCCUACGGGAGGCAUCUGAGGGGACUAUUGCACAAUGGGCGCAAUCCGGAUGCAGCCAUGCCGCGUGUAUGAAGAAGGCCUGAGGGUUGUAAAGUACUUUCAGCGGGGAGGCGUUACCCGCAGAAGAAGCACCGGCUAACUCCGUGCCAGCCGCCGCGGUAAUAC
rnacentral:rRNA from 1 species